rnacentral:rRNA from 1 species
AGAGCGAACGCUGGCGGCAGGCCUAACACAUGCAAGUCGAGCGCCCGUAGCAAUACGGGAGCGGCAGACGGGAGAGUAACACGUGGGAACGUACCCUUCAGUUCGGAAUAACCCAGGGAAACUUGGACUAAAUACCGAAUACGUCCGUAAGGAGAAAGAUUUAUCGCUGAAGGAUCGGCCCGCGUCUGAUUAGCUUGUUGGUGAGGUAACGGCUCACCAAGGCGACGAUCAGUAGCUGGUCUGAGAGGAUGAUCAGCCUCACUGGGACUGAGACACGGCCCAGACUCCUACGGGAGGCAGCAGUGGGGAAUAUUGGACAAUGGGCGCAAGCCUGAUCCAGCCAUGCCGCGUGGAUGAUGAAGGCCCUAGGGUUGUAAAGCUCUUUCGCCCGCGACGAUGAUGACGGUAGCGGGAGAAGAAGCCCGGCUAACUUCGUGCCAGCAGCCGC